rnacentral:rRNA from 1 species
UACGUAGGGGGCAAGCGUUGUCCGGAAUCAUUGGGCGUAAAGCGCGUGUAGGCGGCUCGAUAAGUCUGCUGUGAAAGUUCAGGGCUCAACCCUGAAAUGCCGGUGGAAACUGUCGAGCUAGAGUCCGGAAGAGGCGAGUGGAAUUCCUGGUGUAGCGGUGAAAUGCGCAGAUAUCAGGAGGAACACCAAUUGCGAAGGCAGCUCGCUGGGACGUUACUGACGCUGAGACGCGAAAGCGUGGGGGAGCAAACAGG